rnacentral:rRNA from 1 species
CUACGGGCCGCUGCAGUGAGGAAUAUUGCACAAUGGGGGGAACCCUGGUGCAGCAACGCCGCGUGGAGGAUGACGCAUUUCGGUGUGUAAACUCCUUUUAUAUGUCAAGAAAAUGACGGUAGCAUAUGAAUAAGCACCGGCUAACAUCCGUGCAAGCAGCCGCGGUAAUACGGAGGGUGCAAGCGUUACUCGGAAUCACUGGGCGUAAAGGACGCGUAGGCGGGCUUGUAAGUCAGGUGUGAAAUCCUACAGCUUAACUGUAGAACUGCACUUGAAACUACGAGCCUAGAGUAUGGGAGGGGCAGAUGGAAUUAGUGGUGUAGGGGUAAAAUCCGUAGAUAUCACUAGGAAUACCUAAAGCGAAGGCGAUCUGCUGGAACAUAACUGACGCUAAGGCGUGAAAGCGUGGGGAGCAAACAGGAUUAGAUACCCGAGUAGUC